GACUUUAAACUGGAGGAGGUGGAGGGAGGACUUAAACCAGAAAGGGUAUUUUUGGGAAGAAAGGGCUACCUUAAAUGUAGUUGCAUCUGGUUGGGUAACUAUGGUAGGGUGAAGACUAAAUCCAUGCUUUAAUUGUGCGGGGGAAGAACGAAUUGCUGUACACAUCUGU